ACUAUUUCAGUCUUCUCCCGUUUCCCAAAGCGAGAAAAUACGCGUUAGCGCGGCGUACCGCGGUUACAAACCAUGUUACCGACGCUAGAACGAAGAAGAAAGAAAGAGCGGCUUUUUGAAAGGAAUUUUAUUAUACGGGAAAGCAGUGAUAACGCUGACGGAAAGGGGCAACGAGCAGAAAAUUCAACAUGAAGUUCGAGUUGAAGAGGAAGAAAGAGGGAGAGGAAGGACAGGAAUAGUUGCGUUUUACCGAAGAAAAAACGCGAGGAGAAGCAUUUGAACGAAACAAAUUGGAAGUUUCUAUGAAAAUAAAAAAUAAAUUAAACGAAUACGAU
rnacentral:lncRNA from 1 species